rnacentral:rRNA from 1 species
GACGAACGCUGGCGGCGUGCCUAAUACAUGCAAGUCGAACGGAAAGGCCAUGCUCUUGUGGGGCGCUCGAGAGGCGAACGGGGGUGUAACACGUGAGUAACCUGCCCUUGAAAGUGGGAGAACUUCAGGAAACUGGGGCUCAUAUAGGGUAGGAGAUCCUGCAGCACAGGGGGCGAUGGAAAGUGUCGGCGGUGGGGGAUGGAAUAGCGGCUUAUCGGCUUGUUGGUGGGGUAGGGGCUUACAAGGGCUUUGAAGGGUAGCCGGCCUGGGAGGGUGACCGGCCACCUUGGGACUGCGAUACGGCGCAGUCUCCUACGGGAGGCAGCAGGGGGGAGUAUUGCGCAGUGGGCGGGCGCCUGAGGCGGCAGCGCCGCGUGCGGGAUGACGGCCUUCGGGUUAUAAACAGAUUUCGCCUGUGACGAGGCGUGAGUGACGGUAAUGGGUAAGAAAGCACCGGCUAACUACGUG